rnacentral:lncRNA from 1 species
CUGCCAUAUUCCAGAGUAGCAAGAGCACAUCCUGGAGAUGGGGAACUGCCAAAAUGCUCCUUCUGAGAACCCAGCUGCAAUGCUAUGAAGAGGCCCAAGCAACUCUGUGGGGGCCCACCUGGAGGAGGAGAAGUGAGACACCUGGCUAACAGUUCCAGCUGAGCUCCCAGUUGGCAACCAGCACCAACUUCCAGCCAUGUGAGUAAGGUCAUUUGUACCUCCAGACAUUCUACCACCCCACCCAACACUCUGUGAAGCAGAAAACCACUGGGUUAAUGGUUAAUGCACAUAACUGUAAGAAAUAAUAAAUUGUUGUUUUAAGAGAU